GGGGCCUUAGCUCAGCUGGGAGAGCAGCCUGCUUUGCACGCAGGAGGUCAGCGGUUCGAUCCCGCUAGGCUCCA
rnacentral:tRNA from 1 species